rnacentral:snoRNA from 1 species
AAACAUGAUGACAAACUGUCGCCCCAGGCGGAUUUCUAAUAUGAACGAUUCGACUAUUAUAGCCAAACACUGAAAAUUCUGAUA